CCGGAGAAUGUUAUCACGGGAGACACACGGCGGGUGCUAACGUCCGUCGUGAAGAGGGAAACAACCCAGACCGCCAGCUAAGGUCCCAAAGUCAUGGUUAAGUGGGAAACGAUGUGGGAAGGCCCAGACAGCCAGGAUGUUGGCUUAGAAGCAGCCAUCAUUUAAAGAAAGCGUAAUAGCUCACUGGUCGAGUCGGCCUGCGCGGAAGAUGUAACGGGGCUAAACCAUGCACCGAAGCUGCGGCAGCGACGCUUAUGCGUUGUUGGGUAGGGGAGCGUUCUGUAAGCCUGCGAAGGUGUGCUGUGAGGCAUGCUGGAGGUAUCAGAAGUGCGAAUGCUGACAUAAGUAACGAUAAAGCGGGUGAAAAGCCCGCUCGCCGGAAGACCAAGGGUUCCUGUCCAACGUUAAUCGGGGCAGGGUGAGUCGACCCCUAAGGCGAGGCCGAAAGGCGUAGUCGAUGGGAAACAGGUUAAUAUUCCUGUACUUGGUGUUACUGCGAAGGGGGGACGGAGAAGGCUAUGUUGGCCGGGCGACGGUUGUCCCGGUUUAAGCGUGUAGGCUGGUUUUCCAGGCAAAUCCGGAAAAUCAAGGCUGAGGCGUGAUGACGAGGCACUACGGUGCUGAAGCAACAAAUGCCCUGCUUCCAGGAAAAGCCUCUAAGCAUCAGGUAACAUCAAAUCGUACCCCAAACCGACACAGGUGGUCAGGUAGAGAAUACCAAGGCGCUUGAGAGAACUCGGGUGAAGGAACUAGGCAAAAUGGUGCCGUAACUUCGGGAGAAGGCACGC
rnacentral:rRNA from 1 species